rnacentral:rRNA from 1 species
GAUGAACGCUAGCGGCAGGCCUAAUACAUGCAAGUCGAACGAUAGAAGAGGGCUUGCUCUCUUCGAAAGUGGCGCACGGGUGCGUAACGCGUAUGCAACCUACCUUAAUCAGGGGGAUAGCCCGAAGAAAUUCGGAUUAACACGGCAUAAAAUCACAGUACAGCAUUGUACAAUGAACAAAUAUUUAUAGGAUUAAGAUGGGCAUGCGUGACAUUAGCUAGUUGGCGGGGUAACGGCCCACCAAGGCGACGAUGUCUAGGGGAUCUGAGAGGAUGACCCCCAACACUGGUACUGAGACACGGACCAGACUCCUACGGGAGGCAGCAGUAAGGAAUAUUGGUCAAUGGAGGCAACUCUGAACCAGCCAUGCCGCGUGCAGGAAGACGGCCCUCUGGGUUGUAAACUGCUUUUAUUCGGGAAUAAACCUCAUUAUGUAUAGUGAGCUGAAUGUACCGAAGGAAUAAGGAUCGGCUAACUCCGUGCCAGCAGCCGCCGUAA